GUGAAUCAUCGAAUCUUUGAACGCACAUUGCGCCCGCCAGUAUUCUGGCGGGCAUGCCUGUCCGAGCGUCAUUUCAACCCUCGAACCCCUCCGGGGGGUCGGCGUUGGGGAUCGGCCCUCCCUUAGCGGGUGGCCGUCUCCGAAAUACAGUGGCGGUCUCGCCGCAGCCUCUCCUGCGCAGUAGUUUGCACACUCGCAUCGGGAGCGCGGCGCGUCCACAGCCGUUAAACACCCAACUUCUGAAAUGUUGACCUCGGAUCAGGUAGGAAUACCCGCUGAACUUAAGCAUAUCAAUAAGCGGAGGA
rnacentral:misc_RNA from 1 species